GAUGAACGCUGGCGGCGUGCCUAAUACAUGCAAGUCGAGCGAACGGACGAGAAGCUUGCUUCUCUGAUGUUAGCGGCGGACGGGUGAGUAACACGUGGAUAACCUACCUAUAAGACUGGGAUAACUUCGGGAAACCGUAGCUAAUACCGGAUAAUAUUUUGCACCGCAUGGUUCAAAAGUGAAAGACGGUCUUGCUGUCACAUAUAGAUGGAUCCGCGCUGCAUUAGCUAGUUGGUAAGGUAACGGCUUACCAAGGCAACGAUGCAUAGCCGACCUGAGAGGGUGGUCGGCCACACUGGAACUGAGACACGGUCCAGACUCCUACGGGAGGCAGCAGUAGGGAAUCUUACGCAAUGGGCGAGAGCCUGACCGAGCAACGCCGCGUCAGUGAUAGAAGUCUUCGGAUCGUGAUACUCUGUUAUUAGUGAAGAACAUGUAUGUAAGUAACUGUGAACAUCUUGACGGUACCUAAUCAGAAAGCAACGGCUAACUACGUG
rnacentral:rRNA from 1 species